rnacentral:piRNA from 1 species
UAUACAAAUGAUGCCAUAUAGGAGAG